rnacentral:miRNA from 14 species
AAUACAGAGCACUCAGUUAAAUUUGAAUUUCAGGUAAACAAUUCCUUUUUAAGUGUAAGUAUGUCUCAUGCAACAUUUGGGAUAUACUUAUACUAAAAAAUGUAUUAUCUCUCAGAAAUUCAGAUUUAACUGAACACCCUGCAUUGU